AUGGGAUUUAGCUAUUUCCUGAUCAAUAACAAUAGAGAUACUUGGAAUAACAGAAUCAGGUCUUGGAAACUACAAUCUCCACCCUACUCAGGGUAACAAGAUCAGGAAGGGCUGCAGCAAAACUCAAGAUUUAAUUAUUUGAGAAUAUGGCCUUCAACAGACAUGUGCAAAAAGGACAGACCUCUGGGUGGUCCUAGGUAAAGCUAGAGCCACCAUUGGUACAGGGAGACACAGGAAGUGAGGUAGAGGACAGCUCAGGAGUUCUGGGGACUUCCUGUGUGGAGGGAAGAAGGUGGUUGGAGCCUGGUGUUUGGAGUGGAGGAGCCCACAGACUGUUUCUCCAUUUUGGUCAUACUGUGAAUACCUUUAGAGAAGAAGCUAUUUUUGCCUUUCUUAUAUCUCCAGCAAAAGUAUAUGUGUGGGCUUUCAACUCUUCACUCAAGCUUGGUGUCAGGAUCUACUGCUGCAACCUCAUCCCUGAAAACAAAAUAAUGAAGGGCACAUGGCCUUUCUUUGAUAAGAGCAUGCCAUGAAGAAUGGUCCUGUGCCAGUGUCUACCAUAU
rnacentral:lncRNA from 1 species